rnacentral:misc_RNA from 1 species
CCGAAUUGUCGGCACGAGUUGUUGCUGGUCCUCAGAUGGGGGCAUGUGCACGCUCUGUCUACACAUCCACUCACACCUGUGCACCCUCUGUAGUUCUGUGGCCUGGGCGACUCUGUCCCCUUGCUGUGGUUCUGCGUCUUUACACACACACCGUAACAAAGUCUUGUGGAAUGUGCACCGCGUUUAACGCAAUACAAUA